UCCAGGUCUCUUUAUGGGAGAACUCUGCGUUGCCCAAACUCUCCCCCACUGCUCCUUCAGGUGCACUUUCCUUCACACUCGGACCUGGUCUUCUUAAGGGCUUUUUGAAAAAUUGCCACAAUAUGAAAAAGAUGCUGAGAGUCUAGAAAGAGUGCAGAGAAGAGCAACUAAGAUGAUAAGAGGCCUGAAGGUUAAAUUGUAUGACCAUCAGUUAAGGGAACUAGCUAUGUCUAGCCUAUCAAAGAGAAAUAUUAGGGGUGACAUGACAGCUGUCUUCCAGUAAUUGAGGGGCAGCCAAACAGAUGAGGGGGUUGACUUAUUCUCAAAAGCACCUAAGACUGGACAAGAAGCAAUAUGUGGAAGCUCUUUAAAGUGAGAUCCUAUUGCAAUUUACUCUGCCAAGCAAGAAAUCUCUCCAGGUCUGCUCAUUCAACACUGCAGUCCUUUUUCACUCUCAGCUGUGUGUAUUUUUCUUGUUAGUUCACCCUCUGAUUGCACUAAAUGCAUCAGCAGAAUUUUGUAGUUACAUAUCUACCAAUAUUGAAAAAUAGAUAAAACUCUGAGUAGCAUUCAUUCAGCCACUCAGUUUGUUUUGCUUUUCCUUGGUGAGGUCAUGCCUCAUAAUGGUGCUAACAGGGGCAUGAGCUCACAAAGGAGAAGUAAAUAAAACCUUUUGGUGGACUGAGUGAAAACUAUUCACUCAAGAGUUUUAUCUUGUGUGGGUGCUUAGUGUGUCUCUCGAAGUACCAAGAACGAAGAAGAAAACAGAGGGAGCACUUCCAAGAAUUAACAGCAAGGCAUCAGGAGGAGCUGGCAGAAAAGAAUGCCAGAAUAACUGCUCUGGAAGAAGAAAAUAAAACGCUUGCCAGCAAUUUAGCACAUAUUGUGAAGGAAAACAACGAGAUUAAAAAGAAGCUCCAAAAAGCUGAAGAGAGGCUUGCCCAGCUGACCCCUGACACUGCAACGUUAAUAGAGCGGCUGAGGAAACGGGAGACGGAGGCAAUGGAAGAGGAAGAAGAGAUGAGCUCCCAGUUUUCUUUUUGGGGAGAAUUCAAUUAAGAAUCCAAGAAGGCAACAAAAUGAUCGAAAUACCUCCCUACCAACAAUCAACAUUCACAUGAACAAAAUUAACAUCAUACCAACAAUCAAGGAGUAAACAAUGUUCCAGUGAAGAAACUGCCAAACAAGCUAACAGUAAACAGCCCAACCAAAGAAGAUCACACAAACCGACUACAAAGAACGGCAUGACAAAGUAGCCACAGGGGUGCAUUGCAAGAUCCACACGAAAUACCAUUUGCCUGCAAGCAAAAACUGGUGGGACCAUAAAAUAUAGAAAAUGAAGAACCUAAAGUGUUCUGGAGUUUAGAAUCCAAAAAGACAGGCACUUGCCAUAUAACAAGCCAACUGUCGAUAAGAAAGACAAAAAAAGUCUAGACAGUGGACUGGGCAGUACUGGAAACAGCAGAUUAGAGAAGAAGGAGAAACUAAAAAUACAAAUACAGAAGAAGGAGCAAGACCAAGAGAACAGAGACAAAUAAGAUUGACUAGAAGAUUAAAACCUAGAAAUAAUCGAAAUAGAUGGAGAAAGAAAAUGGGAUGCUUUCAAUGAAUAUAAAUGGAUAGAACUCCCCCUCAAAAAGGAAACUUUUUUUGCACGACUACAAAAAUUAAAAAUAGACAUAAUUUACCUUCAAGAAACACAUAUCAAGAGACAACACUAUAAAUUGUUACAGCAAUCAAAAAUUGGCAAACUCCGUUUUGCAUUAGCACAACAAAAGAAAAGAAGAACAGCUUUAUACAGUAUAUUAAAAAAACAUACAGACCAGAAUGGUUUUUUAUCUAAAAGACAAAUAAAAAAAAUAACUUAAGAAUGAUUGUAGAUGUUUUGGAGUACUAUGAAACCCACCCAGGGAAACAGAUGGCAUUAAUAUUUAUAGAUGCACAGAAGACAUUUGAUAACAUAAAUUGGCAAUUCAUGUUCCAGCAACUAGAAGAAAUGGACUUUGGAAAAAAAAUUAUAAACAUAAUCAAAACAAUUUAUAAUGAACAAACAGCUAAAGUAACUGUAAAUGGAAAUUUUACAGAAAAUUUUAAUAUUAAAAAAGACACAAGAUAGGGAUGCCCACUAUCCCCAUUACUAUUUAUACCAACACUGGAAGUAUUGAAUAGAAACAAUUAGGCAAGAUAUAGAAAUUAAAGGAAUGGGGGAAAAAAGACGAAAAAUAUAAACUACAAGCAUUUGCAGAUGACCACCAGCAACUUUGCAAACUGGGAGUAAGUGUAUCAAAAACCUAUAAAUUGAUCUAAAAUGCAUAUUGUAGCUUAUAUAUUUAAAUAUACCCUUUAGUUAAUUUUUAGUUUCAUGGCACAAUAAAAAAAUAUUGUUUAAUGUGCUUGCUCUGAGCAGUGAGUGUACAACAGAAUAUUUUAAGAAAUGCAUAUUUUGCAUGCACUACUGCUUCAAUCCCUAAUAGCACACAUAUUUUAUAUUAUAAAUUGUUACUUGUGGGGUGAUCUGAAUUGGAAUAUGAUCUGUGCAUGACCAUACUUGAUGGAUCAAUCUGGGACUGAGUGGCUGGUGACACCUUGAUCCAACCUCUGGGAGUCCUUUUAAAUCCCUUGACAGCCUCUGGAUGGAAUAGUAGCUCCAAAGAAUUCUGUAGUACACCAGUUGUUUUAGUCUUAGGGAAAACUGGUGACUGUAUUCAGAACUUUAGAAGUGCUGUUUACAAUGUAUGCCUGGAAGAAAUUCCAAUGCUCCUCAAGUGGAUCUUUAUGCAAGGAAUGCAAGACUCCAAGGAUGCCUAAUUCUAAUCCACAAAUAAGUCCGGUUGAAAAACUGUCACCUCUGCUUUCCAGUCAGAACCCCUAAUAAUCUGUCCCUGAUAUUAGUUUUCGGUCCUGGCUCCAAGGAGACCUAACUCUAACCCUAGUUUAAUUUUCAUUGGCAAUGGGAUUUUGCUAUGUAUUUUAUCCUAGUCCACAAAUGAGUCCAGACAGCACAUUGUCACCUCCUCUUUGCUUGGAGAACCUGUCAGGGAGUCCUCCUUAAGACCUGUUCCCCAAAAAGCACCUGGUCCCCUUUUAGUAGAGGGGGAGACCCAUUAUGAAAUAAAACAAAUUCUUGAUUCUAUGUUGUACAAAGGAAAAUUACAAUAUUUAGUACAGUGGAAGGGAUACCCACUAUCAGAAGCUACUUGGGUAAAACAUACUGACGUCAAGGCAGAGAGAUUGAUACGUAGAUUUUUUUGAUAAGCACCCUCAUAAACCUCGGGGAGAUUCCUAACUCUAACUUUUCUUCAUCUGCAGGAUUUGUUGCCACAGUACUGGGAGGGGGGAUGAGUGCUUUUAAGGUUAAACAAUAAAUUGUGCCUUGGGAACCAAGGUCAUUGCUGCCUGACGUUUGGCGGGCUGAGCCUUCUGUUAGAAUGUCCGCCAAAGUAUUAUAUUGGGGAACGUGGAUGACAUACUGAUGGGGUGGGAACUUCAACUUUGUAACGCUGCAACACUUGGGAGGGAACUCCAGACUUGGUUUCACUUUUGACUGUAC